CCUACGGGUGGCAGCAGUGGGGAAUAUUGCACAAUGGGGGAAACCCUGAUGCAGCGACGCCGCGUGAGUGAAGAAGUAUCUCGGUAUGUAAAGCUCUAUCAGCAGGGAAGAACAUGACGUUACCUAACUAAGAGGCCCCGGCUAACUACGUGCCAGCAGCCUCGGUCAUACGGAGGGGGCACGCCUUAGCCGGUUUUACUGGGUGUAAAGGGAGCGUAGACGGCGCUGCAAGUCCGGAGUGAAAGCCCAUGGCUUAACCAUGGAACUGCUCUGGAAACUGUGGAGCGUGAGUGCGGGAGGGGCAGGCGGAAUUCCUAGUGUAGCGGUGAAAUGCGUAGAUAUUAGGAGGAACACCGGCGGCGAAGGCGGCCUGCUGGACCGUAACUGACGUUGAGGCGCGAAAGCGUGGGGAGCAAACAGGAUUAGAUACCCCAGUAGUC
rnacentral:rRNA from 1 species